AACGCUAGCUACAGGCUUAACACAUGCAAGUCGAGGGGAAACGACAUCGAAAGCUUGCUUUUGAUGGGCGUCGACCGGCGCACGGGUGAGUAACGCGUAUCCAACCUGCCCACCACUUGGGGAUAACCUUGCGAAAGUAAGACUAAUACCCAAUGACGUCUCUAGAAGACAUCUGAAAGAGAUUAAAGAUUUAUCGGUGAUGGAUGGGGAUGCGUCUGAUUAGCUUGUUGGCGGGGUAACGGCCCACCAAGGCGACGAUCAGUAGGGGUUCUGAGAGGAAGGUCCCCCACAUUGGAACUGAGACACGAUCCAAACUCCUACGGGAGGCAGCAGUGAGGAAUAUUGGUCAAUGGGCGAGAGCCUGAACCAGCCAAGUAGCGUGCAGGAUGACGGCCCUAUGGGUUGUAAACUGCUUUUAUAAGGGAAUAAAGUGGGUCACGUGUGACUUUUUGCAUGUACCUUAUGAAUAAGGACCGGCUAAUUCCGUGCCAGCAGCCGCGGUAAUACGGAAGGUCCGGGCGUUAUCCGGAUUUAUUGGGUUUAAAGGGAGCGUAGGCCGGAGAUUAAGCGUGUUGUGAAAUGUAGACGCUCAACGUCUGCACUGCAGCGCGAACUGGUUUCCUUGAGUACGCAUAAAGUGGGCGGAAUUCGUGGUGUAGCGGUGAAAUGCUUAGAUAUCACGAAGAACUCCGAUUG
rnacentral:rRNA from 1 species